rnacentral:rRNA from 1 species
AGUUUGAUCCUGGCUCAGAUUGAACGCUGGCGGCAUGCCUUACACAUGCAAGUCGAACGGUAACAGGUCUUUCGGGAUGCUGACGAGUGGCGAACGGGUGAGUAAUACAUCGGAACGUGCCUAGUAGUGGGGGAUAACUACUCGAAAGAGUGGCUAAUACCGCAUGAGAUCUAUGGAUGAAAGCAGGGGACCUUCGGGCCUUGUGCUACUAGAGCGGCCGAUGGCAGAUUAGGUAGUUGGUGGGAUAAAAGCUUACCAAGCCUACGAUCUGUAGCUGGUCUGAGAGGACGAUCAGCCACACUGGGACUGAGACACGGCCCAGACUCCUACGGGAGGCAGCAGUGGGGAAUUUUGGACAAUGGGGGAAACCCUGAUCCAGCAAUGCCGCGUGCAGGAUGAAGGCCUUCGGGUUGUAAACUGCUUUUGUACGGAACGAAAAGUCUUGGGCUAAUACCCUGGGAUCAUGAC